UACAGAGGGGGCAAGCGUUGUUCGGAAUUACUGGGCGUAAAGGGCGCGUAGGCGGCCUUCUAAGUCGAACGUGAAAUCCCUGGGCUCAACCCAGGAACUGCGUCUGAUACUGGGUGGCUUGAAUUCGGGAGAGGGAUGCGGAAUUCCAGGUGUAGCGGUGAAAUGCGUAGAUACCUGGAGGAACACCGGUGGCGAAGGCGGCAUCCUGGACCGAGAUUGACGCUGAGGCGCGAAAGCUAGGGUAGCAAACGGG
rnacentral:rRNA from 1 species